rnacentral:rRNA from 1 species
GACGAACGCUGGCGGCGUGCUUAACACAUGCAAGUCGAACGGAGUGGCGAACGGGUGAGUAACACGUGGGUGACCUGCCCUGCACUUCGGGAUAAGCCUGGGAAACUGGGUCUAAUACCGGAUAGUGUGGGAUGGGCCCGCGGCGUAUCAGCUUGUUGGUGGGGUAAUGGCCUACCAAGGCGGCGACGGGUAGCCGGCCUGGGGGGGUGGACGGCCACAUUGGUACUGAGACACGGCCCAGGUGCCUACGGGAGGCAGCGGUGGGGAAUAUGGCACACUGGGCGGAAGUCUGAUGCAGCGACGCCGCGUGGGGGAUGACGGCCUUCGGGGUGUAAACUCCUUUCACCAUCGACGCGGUAGUGGCAGAAGAAGCACCGGCUAACUACGUGCCAGCAGCCGCGGUAAUAC